AUUGAACGCUGGCGGUAGGCCUAACACAUGCCAGUCGAACGGCAGCACAGUAAGAGCUUGCUCUUACGGGUGGCGAGUGGCGGACGGGUGAGGAAUACGUCGGAAUCUACUUUUUCGUGGGGGAUAACGUAGGGAAACUUACGCUAAUACCGCAUACGACCUACGGGUGAAAGCAGGGGAUCUUCGGACCUUGCGCGAUUGAAUGAGCCGAUGUAGGAUUAGCUAGUUGGCGGGGUAAAGGCCCACCAAGGCGACGAUCCGUAGCUGGUCUGAGAGGAUGAUCAGCCACACUGGAACUGAGACACGGUCCAGACUCCUACGGGAGGCAGCAGUGGGGAAUAUUGGACAAUGGGCGCAAGCCUGAUCCAGCCAUACCGCGUGGGUGAAGAAGGCCUUCGGGUUGUAAAGCCCUUUUGUUGGGAAAGAAAAGCAGCAGGUUAAUACCCGGCUGUUCUGACGGUACCCAAAGAAUAAGCACCGGCUAACUACGUG
rnacentral:rRNA from 1 species